GAUGAACGCUGGCGGCGUGCCUAAUACAUGCAAGUCGAGCGAACAGACGAGGAGCUUGCUCCUCUGACGUUAGCGGCGGACGGGUGAGUAACACGUGGAUAACCUACCUAUAAGACUGGAUAACUUCGGGAAACCGGAGCUAAUACCGGAUAAUAUAUUGAACCGCAUGGUUCCAUAGUGAAAGACGGUUUUGCUGUCACUUAUAGAUGGAUCCGCGCCGCAUUAGCUAGUUGGUAAGGUAACGGCUUACCAAGGCAACGAUGCGUAGCCGACCUGAGAGGGUGAUCGGCCACACUGGAACUGAGACACGGUCCAGACUCCUACGGGAGGCAGCAGUAGGGAAUCUUCCGCAAUGGGCGAAAGCCUGACGGAGCAACGCCGCGUGAGUGAUGAAGGUCUUCGGAUCGUAAAACUCUGUUAUUAGGGAAGAACAAAUGUGUAAGUAACUAUGCACGUCUUGACGGUACCUAAUCAGAAAGCCACGGCUAACUACGUG
rnacentral:rRNA from 1 species